rnacentral:rRNA from 1 species
UUAGUUGGUGGAUUGAUUUGUCUGGUUAAUUCCGACAACGAACGAGACCUUCGCCUGCUAAAUAGGGCCUGUCAAAUCUAUUGACAGUGCACCUUCUUCGCGGGACCGUGCGCGUCUAGCGUAAGGAAGUGAAGGCAAUAACAGGU